rnacentral:tRNA from 1 species
GCAGAAAUGGCGGAAUUUGGUAGACGCGCUAGCCUUAGGAGCUAGUAUCAUUUGUGAUGUAAGGGUUCAAGUCCCUUUUUCUGCA